AUGUUUGUUUUGUGAAGAUUAAUUAUUUUGAGAUAUACUCCAAGAUUCAUUCUACACUACAGGAAAGCUGAUUCUGAUUUUGAAUUAAAGAACGCAUUUGAGUCGGCAGGUACUGUAGCCAAGAUAUGACCAGCAACUAUAAUUUCUUAUGCUGCCUUUGCAAAUUUAAGAUGCAAGUAAAACUAAGUUUCAGAGAUAAAUAACAGCUAUAGUUUCUUACAUUGUACUACCAUUGCAACUUUAAGAUGUGAGUGAAACUAACUUUCAGAGGUAAAUAACAUCUAUAUAUUGUCGAUGACGAUUUCAGAUGUGGAUACGAAGGAGAUAGAGAUAUGUUUUUGUUUACACGAACUGAGCACACCCCAACGGUGUCAACGUUUGGAAAGGUAGUGGACUGAUAAGUUGCAGGAUUGGUGUUACCUCUAUACCAUCUUAAGGUAUUCCUUUCAAAGGAGAAUCAUUUGUUAUUCAUUUUUUCAAUCAUUUUAGGAGUAAACGCAUAGGUAAAACAACAGAUUUAGACAAUAUUUUUCGCAGCAACGCGCGGGGAAUCCUCUAGUAUACAUAGCCCGACCGACCAACUAGAACUACUACUACUUGUAGUCGUACACGACCACACCCUAAUGCUCUUUGGAGCUAUAAAUAUAAGCCCGUUUUCUACUAAUGACGAUACCAUUUCAAGACCAUGCAUGUAAAACACCGGUAAUUUGAUGAUUAAAGAACCUUCAAAAAGGCAUGCGGUCAUUAUAGAACCAACAAAUGACAGAUGUCGACGGCAAUAUAGAGGGAAGGACAUGCAAGGACAAACAAGUUGUAGAUAUCUCACGCAAAUGAUAAUUCUAUAUCUCGUUGCAACUAGAUAGGCUAGCUAAUCAUGCUCUAUAAACCUGUCGUUAGAUAUCUUCUAUUCCUAAAUAGUUGGUCCCAAUUUCCCGGCCUCUCGUGAGGCCACAUCACCCCUUUUCCACCAGAUUUGUAAUGCCGAGCGUCGCUCCAGACGGGCUUCUCCUCGCUUCCUCCACCCGAUACUAUACAUGGGCAUUGUUUUGCGCCGGUGAGCCACGCCUGGACCUUCUCGCAGAGAAAAGAAACGCCUGGACUCAUAAUUCCAUUCUAUCCCUCACCAAUUCAGCCUUUAUUCCUCUUCAAGUCUUCAAUCUGCAAGAUCUCCGAGGGAGGCGAGCGGUCCGCGACCCACCACUUGGGCCUUUUCAUCUUCAAUCUGCGUGGUCACUAAAGAAUUAUCUCCUCUUCAAUCUGUGAGGGAGGAGAGUAGUCCACCUUCCCACCACUUCCCCCUUUUCAUCUAUGAUCGAUUGAUCGCGCGGUCUCUUCAUCUGCCCUUUGAGCUGCAAGGUCACAAAGGGAAGCCAGGGGAGAGUACGCCCAGUCGGCAGAUCACAGGGAACCCCAUUCCAAGUUGGUUUGAGUGGCGAGAAUCUACUAGGGCAGAACAACAAAUCAAUUGUUUGUUGAAUCAAUAUUCAGAUUGAAGCUCGAAGGUAACCGUCACCGCCGACCGGCCGGUAAUUUCUUUGCUGGUAGCAACAAUUCCAUUGCACGAUGGUCAAGUGCCCACCACUUUUUUAGACGGAAGGCUCGAAAUGAGCCCGGCUUUGAAUUAACAAAGCCAUCAACCGGCUAGGAGUUACACCAGAAGUUACAACACACGCGCGUCAAGCACACAACGGAACCCAAAACAGAAGACAACACAGAUAACGUCGAGCUGAAGCGUCAGCUUAAACUAUGGAGGGAGCCUUGUCUUCUGCAGCACCGGAGCAGUGACGACCAAGUCCACACCAACAAACCUCCACCGCACCAAGACUGCAACCCAUGAGGAACUCAACGAC